UUGAAAUCUUUUCAAAUUUGUGUUCAUAUUUUAAGACAUUAAAUUUUUUCAGUAAAUAAUUUAAAACAGUACUCUUUGUAUUUGAGAUGAAUAAACAUGAGAGUUAAAUUGUAGAGUUUAUCCUAAAAACUUGAUUUAAUUUAUGAUAAUACUGAGGUAAUAAAUAGAUUGCUCCUUUCCUUUCAUAUUUUUCUAAAAUAUUCACCCUCUUUUACACUUGUUCAUCAUACAUUAAAACUAAAAUAAUCUGUUUACUUGAUCAAAAAAAGUAUUUUUAUUUAAUUUCUGAAAUAUUUCUGAGUUGCAUGAAACCAUUCUUUUCAAAUGUGUCAUGAUGUAGCCUCGGAAUGCUGCUCGAAUAAGUGAAAAGAGAAAAGAGUAUAUGGAUGCCUGUGGGGAAGCAAACAAUCAGAAUUUCCAGCAGCGAUACCACGCAGAAGAAGUAGAAGAAAGAUUUGGAAGAUUCAAGCCAGGAGUUAUUAGUGAGGAACUUCAAGAUGCACUAGGUGUGACAGACAAGAGUCUUCCACCUUUUAUCUAUCGGAUGCGCCAGCUAGGGUACCCACCAGGGUGGCUCAAAGAGGCUGAAUUGGAGAAUUCAGGGCUUGCACUCUAUGAUGGAAAAG
rnacentral:sRNA from 1 species